AUGGUGAAGUUCUCCAAGCAGUUCGAGGGCCAGCUCGUGCCGGAGUGGAAGGAGGCCUUCGUCGACUACUGGCUGCUCAAGAAGGACAUCAAGAAGCUGCAGGCCGCUGCCGGCGCCGAGGCGGCGCCACUGCAGUCACAGUUCCAGGCGCCCGUGGCUGCCAGUCACUGGGUGAUGAGGCUCCCGUUCCUCAACCCCCAUGGCCACCACAAGGAGCACGGCGCCAUACAGGUGCACAGAAAGCUGGCGAGCGGCGGCAACCACGGCGCGGUGGCCGGAGAGGUGUACGAGACGGAGGUUCUGGACACGGCAGGGUUCGCCGGGGCGGAGGCGGAGGAGGCGAGGGCCUUCUUCCAGAGGCUGGACGAGCAGCUGAACAAGGUGAACCGGUUCUACGAGAGGAAGGAAGGGGAGUUCCUGGAGCGUGGCGAGUGCCUCAGGCGGCAGCAGCAGAUCCUGGUCGAGCUCAAGGCCGCCGUCACCGAGGCACGGCGUCGCGGGGGCUCGUCGGCGGCGGGGAGCGCCGACCCGGAGGACCCGUCCGUGUCUUGCUCUAUCCUGCAUGGAGAUCAAUCCCUCAGGGGCAUUACAGAGCAAGAACACGAAAGUCAAGAAAAGCUCGCCGACGAUGCUACGGCAAAGAACACUGAUGAAGGGGAGGACCAUCUUCCCAUCUCCGAAGGUCUGGGUGACUCGGGAAGGAUUGAGAAGCCGAGAGAAGAAGCUGCCAACAAGCUGAGGACAUUCUCAGGGAGGGCGGUCACUUGCCAGGGCAGGAGCGUGAGGAUCAACAUUCCGGUCACCACACCAUCAAGGACCGUGUUCGCCAUCCGUGAACUUUUGUUCGAUGACAUGCUAAGCCAGUCAAGGAAGACUGGGGGAAAUGGUGGCGAUGGUGGUGAGAAGUUGAGCAUCAACAAGAAAAAGGUGCACCAGGCAGAGAAGAUGAUCAGAGGAGCCCUGGUUGAGCUGUACAAGGGCUUGGGGUACCUCAAGACGUAUCGGAGCUUGAACAUGCUGGCUUUUGUUAAGAUUUUGAAGAAAUUUGACAAGGUUACAGCAAAGGAAGUGCAGACAAUUUACCUGAAAGUAGUGGAGAGCUCCUACUUUAAUAGCUCCGACAAGGCAAUCAGGCUAACGGACGAUGUCGAGGAGCUGUUUGUGAGACAUUUCGCAAGCGGUGACAAAAGGAAAGCAAUGAAGUACCUGAAGCCAAAUCAGAAAGAAGAAUCACAUGCUACCACAUUUUUCAUAGGACUAUUCACUGGUGGCUUUGUAGCACUAUUUAUCGGUUACUGUAUCAUGGCGCACAUAGCUGGGAUGUACACUCAUCAGUCAAACAAGGUCUACAUGUCAACAUCCUACCCUGUCCUUAGCAUGUUCAGCCUCUUCUUCCUGCAUCUCUUCCUCUAUGGAUGCAACAUCUUCAUGUGGAGAAAGACACGCAUAAACUACGCAUUCAUAUUCGAAUUUGCACCUACGAAAGAGCUCAAGUAUCGUGAUGUGUUCUUGAUAUGCACUACCUCCAUGACGAUUGUUGUUGGUGUCAUGUUUGCACACCUGACACUCAUUUUCAAAGGGUAUUCUUCAAGUACAGUCCAAGCAGUCCCAGGGUGCCUUCUUCUGGUGUUCUUAUUAGUAUUGGUCUGCCCUUUCAAAAUCAUUUACCGAUCAAGUCGUUAUCAUUUCCUAAUAGCGAUCAGAAACAUCAUUCUAACACCCUUUUACAAGGUUGUCAUGGUUGAUUUCUUCAUGGCUGAUCAGCUUUGUAGCCAGGUACCGCUGCUUAGAACCCUGGAAUACCUGGCAUGUUAUUACAUAACCAGCAGCUAUAAGACACAAGACUAUGGAUACUGCACAAGAGUGAAACAUUUUAGAGAUUUGGCUUAUGCAGUAUCCUUCCUGCCCUACUACUGGAGAGCCAUGCAGUGUGCAAGGAGGUGGUUUGACGAAGGGGACAUAAACCACAUUGUCAACCUUGGGAAGUACGUGUCAGCAAUGCUUGCUGCAGGAACAAAAGUGGCAUAUGAGAAUGAUAACAGUGCUGGAUGGCUAUCACUUGUCGUCAUCGUGUCAAGUGUCGCCACUAUCUACCAACUGUACUGGGACUUUGUCAAGGACUGGGGUCUUCUACAGUUCAACUCCAAGAACCCUUGGCUUCGUAACGAUCUGAUACUUAAACAAAAAUACAUUUAUUUCAUAUCCAUGGGUUUGAACCUUCUUUUGAGGCUUGCUUGGCUUCAAACUGUCAUCCACCCUAACAUUGGAAGCCUGGAUUCUAGAGUUACUCUGUUCUUUUUGGCAGCUCUUGAGGUGAUUCGACGGGGCCUUUGGAACUUCUACAGGCUGGAGAACGAACACCUAAACAAUGCAGGGAAGUUCAGAGCUGUGAAGGUUGUUCCACUUCCUUUUCAUGAAGUCGAAGAGGACUAA
rnacentral:rRNA from 1 species